AUUGAACGCUGGCGGCAUGCUUUACACAUGCAAGUCGAACGGCAGCGCGGGGCAACCUGGCGGCGAGUGGCGAACGGGUGAGUAAUACAUCGGAACGUACCCAGAAGUGGGGGAUAACGUAGCGAAAGUUACGCUAAUACCGCAUACGUUCUACGGAAGAAAGUGGGGGACCUUCGGGCCUCAUGCUUUUGGAGCGGCCGAUGUCUGAUUAGCUAGUUGGUGAGGUAAAGGCUCACCAAGGCGACGAUCAGUAGCUGGUCUGAGAGGACCACCAGCCACACUGGGACUGAGACACGGCCCAGACUCCUACGGGAGGCAGCAGUGGGGAAUUUUGGACAAUGGGCGCAAGCCUGAUCCAGCAAUGCCGCGUGAGUGAAGAAGGCCUUCGGGUUGUAAAGCUCUUUUGUCAGGGAAGAAACGGCUGAGGAUAAUACCUUCGGCUAAUGACGGUACCUGAAGAAUAAGCACCGGCUAACUACGUG
rnacentral:rRNA from 1 species